rnacentral:rRNA from 1 species
CGAGUCAUUGUAGCAAUACAGGCAUACGGCUCAGUAACGCGUAGUCCACCUAACCUAUGGACGGGAAUAACCUCGGGAAACUGAGAAUAAUGCCCGAUAGAACAUUAUGCCUGGAAUGGUUUAUGUUCCAAAUGAUUUAUCGCCGUAGGAUGGGACUGCGGCCUAUCAGUUUGUUGGUGAGGUAAUGGCCCACCAAGACUAUUACAGGUACGGGCUCUGAGAGGAGUAGCCCGGAGAUGGGUACUGAGACACGGACCCAGGCCCUAUGGGGCGCAGCAGGCGAGAAAACUUUGCAAUGUGCGAAAGCACGACAAGGUUAAUCCGAGUGGUUUCUGCUAAAGAAACCUUUUGUCAGUCCUAGAAACACUGAUGAAUAAGGGGUGGGCAAGUUCUGGUGUCAGCCGCCGCGGUAAAACCAGCACCUCAAGUGGUCAGGAUGAUUAUUGGGCCUAAAGCAUCCGUAGCCGGCUCUGUAAGUUUUCGGUUAAAUCUGUACGCUCAACGUACAGGCUGCCGGGAAUACUGCAGAGCUAGGGAGUGGGAGAGGUAGACGGUACUCGGUAGGAAGGGGUAAAAUCCUUUGAUCUAUUGAUGACCACCUGUGGCGAAGGCGGUCUACCAGAACACGUCCGACGGUGAGGGAUGAAAGCUGGGGGAGCAAACCGGAUUAGAUACCCGGGUAGUCCCAGCUGUAAACUAUGCAAACUCAGUGAUGCAUUGGCUUGUGGCCAAUGCAGUGCUGCAGGGAAGCCGUUAAGUUUGCCGCCUGGGAAGUACGUACGCAAGUAUGAAACUC